ACUGUUUGUUAUAUAAUAACAAUGUAACCUUCAUUUAGUGAUAUGUGCGUUUAGCUCAGGUUGGCAAAACUGGGACCAUCCUGUCGGGUUUAGAAACACAUAUAACAAUAAUUUGGGAUGCAGGUAUAAGCCUGUAACAACAUGCAUGCAAAAUACAACUGAAAUUACAUUCUCGAUUUGGCCACACUCACAGUUACUCAGUUAUCUGUUCGGUUUGUUAUUAAUUCCUUUUAAUUAUUACGCAGACUACAUUAAAUUGCAAAUUAUAUUGUGCAUAAAUUCUAGGUGAAGUGUGUUUUUGUCAUUCCCCCUCACUUCACAUAUAUCUCAUCAGACUCGGACAACAAUAGUUGAUGCUUCCUGCAGGUGUAACAGGUUCAAAAAGAGAUUGCUCCUUUCUAUCAUUGACAUGUCUCUUUGUUGGAGUUUUUGUAACACAGCCUUAUAAAAGAUGUGGGCCAAUGUUUGAAUGACAAACUUUACACAUUUUUAGUGUUUGCUAUGAACAAAGUAAACCCAAGCCAAUGCUAGCUUGACAUGACCGCCUCUUACUUUCACCCUACAUUGUAAGUGGUUCCAGGUCCUUGACAGUCAAUCACAUACCCUUUUGUAGUGAUUUAACAAUUAUCCUUUCCGUUUAGGUGAUGCUGCCAUCGGUGAUGGUGUAAGUCGGUACUUCAUCAGCUUUGCUAUGCAGACCUUGCAGUCUGGAUUCCACAUCAAUUUUGGCAAUGCUGAUGUGACUAGGCUGUUUGAGGGACAGAAGGAUCACCUCAUCCCAUGUGCCUCCCAGCCACUCAUUGAUUCUGACCUUUUUCUGAUGGCAGGUAGAAUGGUGGGACAUUCAUUUAUACAUGGUGGCCCGGGAUUGCCAGGGAUCAGUCCUGCUGUAGUCCAUGUGCUCUUAGGGGGCCAAUUGGAGACAGCGACAUUGGUAUUGGAGGAUUGCCCUGAUAUCGAUCGAAGGAACACAAUCCAGUUGGUAGGAAGUGUUUUGUUGUGAAGCUUUUUUUGGUGUGUGUGUGUGUG
ensembl:lncRNA